CCUCUUUAGGUCCAGUUCUGCUGCGUGGGCAUUGCCGGGGCCGGGCGAGGACGCCUGAGGCCGGGGAGGCGGCGACCGUCGACGCAGGAGGCGCCCGCUGGGUGCUCGAAGGAGCGAGGCAUGCAGCUCGGUGCCCAGCAGAACACGAGAGCUGGUCCUUCCCUGCCUGGCUUGGUCCCACGUGGAGAGCCAGCUCUUUCCAGGAUGGAGGCAGGAGGGGAGCCUGGCAGGUUCGCUGUGUCCUUGUCCCAGGAAGAACAAGCCUCCCUUGUUAGAGUCCCCGUGGGACAAAGGGGCAGGCGGCCAUGGAGGCGCUUGCCCCAAAUGGAAAUGAAGAAGCUCAUCAAAUAAAGUGUGGUAUCUGCACACAAUGGAAUGUCCCACCCAGCACUGUGGGUCUAGGACCACACCCAACAGCAGGACGACUCACACGAGGCUGGGGAAAGAGACCUCAAGAAUGCAGUGCACAGUUUGAAAGGAGAGGCCAACAGCCCUGGUUUAGAAGUCAGAAUGGUGGUUACGGGUGGAGGGAAGGAGACAGCUGGUAUGCGGGGCUUCUGGGGGCUGGGAGCCGUUGGGGGGGGGGUCUCAGUGCUGCUACAUGGCCAUAAUGGGUGUAACUGCUCUGCGGGGGUUCUGCCCACCGUGAAGAGAAAUGCUGAUUCCUCCUCCACACUGCAUCCCUGCUCCCCACCCCCAUCUUGGCAACCAAAAAUGUCUCUGGAUGUUGUCCAUUGUCCCCUGGGGGCAGAGUCAGCCCAGGUUGAGAACCACUGGACUGGGGGAUGGGUUCUAGACUAGAACACUCUAGAUCUGCGCCGUAUAGUACAGCGGCCACUGGCCACGUCCGGCCACAAGUGUUUGAACUGUGGCUGGUCCAGACCGAGGUGUGCUGGGAAUGCGGAACAACCUGAUUUUGAAGACUUAACAUGAAGAAAAGCACGUAAAAUACCCCGUGUCUAAUCUUUGUAUGCUGACAUGAUGACAUCUUGGAUAUUUUGGCUUAAAUAAAAUGUAUUAUUAAAAUUAA